UACGAAGGGGGCUAGCGUUGCUCGGAAUCACUGGGCGUAAAGCGCACGUAGGCGGAUUGCUAAGUCAGGGGUGAAAUCCUGGAGCUCAACUCCAGAACUGCCUUUGAUACUGGCAACCUUGAGUCCGGGAGAGGUGAGUGGAACUGCGAGUGUAGAGGUGAAAUUCGUAGAUAUUCGCAAGAACACCAGUGGCGAAGGCGGCUCACUGGCCCGGUACUGACGCUGAGGUGCGAAAGCGUGGGGAGCAAACCGG
rnacentral:rRNA from 1 species